AGCAUUGGAACCACCUGAUCCCAUCCCGAACUCAGAAGUGAAACGAUGCAUCGCCGAUGGUAGUGUGGGGUUUCCCCAUGUGAGAGUAGGUCAUCGUCAAGA
rnacentral:rRNA from 1 species